rnacentral:rRNA from 1 species
AUUGAACGCUGGCGGCAGGCCUAACACAUGCAAGUCGAGCGGAUGAAGGGAGCUUGCUCCUGGAUUCAGCGGCGGACGGGUGAGUAAUGCCUAGGAAUCUGCCUGGUAGUGGGGGAUAACGUCCGGAAACGGGCGCUAAUACCGCAUACGUCCUGAGGGAGAAAGUGGGGGAUCUUCGGACCUCACGCUAUCAGAUGAGCCUAGGUCGGAUUAGCUAGUUGGUGGGGUAAAGGCCUACCAAGGCGACGAUCCGUAACUGGUCUGAGAGGAUGAUCAGUCAGAGUGGGAGAAUGACGGGGUGCAGAAGAAUGCGGGAGGCCGCAGUGGGGAAUGUUGGACGAUGGUCGGAGGAUUGAACAAGCCUUGGAGGGGGGGUGAAGAGGAUCAUGUGAUUGUAUUGUUCUUUAGGUUUUAAGAAAAGGCAAUAAGCUGACACCUUGCGGUCCAGACGUUGCGGUAAGAAUAAGCACCGGCUACCUUCGUG